rnacentral:rRNA from 1 species
UACGUAGGGGGCAAGCGUUAUCCGGAUUUACUGGGUGUAAAGGGAGCGUAGACGGCGAUGCAAGCCAGAUGUGAAAGCCCGCGGCUCAACUGCGGUAGUGCAUUUGGAACUGUAUGGCUGGAGUGCAGGAGAGGCAGGCGGAAUGUAUGGUGUAGCGGUGAAAUGCUUAGAGAUCAUACAGAACACCGAUUGCGAAGGCAGCUUACCAAGCUACUUCUGACGUUGAGGCACGAAAGCGUGGGGAGCAAACAGG